UACGAAGGGUGCAAGCGUUACUCGGAAUUACUGGGCGUAAAGGGUGCGUAGGCGGUUUGGUAAGUCUGAUGUGAAAUCUAUGGGCUCAACUCAUAGUCUGCAUCGGAAACUGCCGGGCUUGAGUGUGGGAGAGGUGAGUGGAAUUCCUGGUGUAGCGGUGAAAUGCGUAGAUAUCAGGAGGAACACCUGUGGCGAAAGCGGCUCACUGGACCAUAACUGACGCUGAUGCACGAAAGCUAGGGGAGCAAACAGG
rnacentral:rRNA from 1 species